CAGGCGGUCACCGAUCUGCGGGUACAGCACGUAGCCACCGGCAUCCAGGAACCUGCGGGGACAGUGUGACAUUGUGUGUGUGUGACACUGUGUGUGUGUGACACUGUGUGUGUGUGACACUGUGGGUACAGCACGUAGCCACCGGCAUCCAGGAACCUGCGGGGACAGUGUGACAAUGGGUGUGACACUGUGACACUGUGUGUGUGACAAUGGGUGUGACACUGUGACACUGUGUGUGUGACACUGCGGGUACAGCACGUAGCCACCAUCGUCCUGGAACCUGCGGGGACAGUGUGACAAUGGGUGUGACACUGUGACACUGUGUGUGACAUUGUGUGUGUGACACUGUGUGUGACACUGUGUGUGUGACACUGCCCCCCCCGGGCACACCAGGUCCAGGCGGUCACCGAUCUGCGGGUACAGCACGUAGCCACCAUCGUCCUGGAACCUGCGGGGACAGUGUGACAAUGGGUGUGACAAUGGGUGUGACACUGUGUGUGACACUGUGA
rnacentral:lncRNA from 1 species